rnacentral:lncRNA from 1 species
AUUUUGUUUCUAGAUUGUUUUACAACCCAAAAGAUACUAUUGUAACCAGUCCACAACCUCGCAUCAUUUGCAUCCCAUGACAUCAUUCACACCAAGCUGCUAGAAAUAGCAGUUGGGAAAUCCUUGACGGGAUUGAGUUUACAAAAGGAGUCAAGUCGCAGCACAAUAGUAGAUACAUUCAUCCAGGUUAAAGUGUUUCCAAACUUGCCUUAGCUACCUCAUUUCAUAUUCUUGGGGGUGUUCAUUCAUGACAUCAUUCACACCAAGCUGCUAGAAAUAGCAACUGGGAAAUCCUUGACGUGAUUGAGUUUACAAAAGGAGUCAAGUCGCAGCACUAUAGUAGAUGAAUUCAUCCAGGUUAAAGUGUUUCCAAACUUGCCUUAGCUACCUCAUUUCAUAUUCUUGGGGGUGUUCAUUCAUGACAAAUUGAAUUAUACUCGUAACUGUAAUCUGUUUCACGACAUCCCCUAUUCUCUGUUUGUAUGAUAUGUCACUAUUUCUGCCUCAUAUAUAUUAGUAUACCUUUACAAAUACAACUUCAAGUAUAUUAUUGUCCUUAUCAUAAGUUGUCUAUUUCCGGAAGAAACGCUAAUGGAAACAUAUAAGGCUAUGGUGGGUGCUGCGCAGCAGUUUUGGUUUUGAGUCGUUUGGAAAAGCAUACGGAGGAUAAAAGUUCCCUUUCUUCUGUUUAAUUUUUUCUUUGAGAAAUUGCAAGGAACUUAUUUCUUGUUAAUGACUAUGUAUGAGCAAACUACUGUAACCACAAUUUACACAAAUCAAAAUCAAUUCCGAAAAGGUAUUGGAGCUUACAGUCUCAGAUGGCGAUUUGCUCUUGGCACGGUCCUGUGUGUAAAAGGUCCCUGGUCAAAGCAUGAGUAGAAAAG